UGCCAUGGCUUUGGGGGGGCCUUCGGUUCGCCGCCGCGCCGCCUCCCCCCCCCCCCCCCCUUUCCCCGCUCCUUCCGCCUUCGGAACUUGCGAGGAUUCGGCGCAGGGGGGUCCCGUUCUGCGUGAGGCGAGCGGAGCGGAGAGGUGCCGCCGAGGCCCGGUCAGCCCUGGCCGUGGCGGCGGCUGGGCCGGCUCCCGCGGUGUCCCUCAUCCCCGGGCGGGGAGCUGCCCAGCGCCUCGCCAGGCGCCAGGCUGGGCCUCUGCCAGCAGCCCGGGAGCUGCCGUAAUGGAGGGUUUCCACUUGCCGGCGUGGUGCAGCCCCGCGGGGUCCCCCUCCAGCCCGGCGGCGUGGCGAUCGCUUCCUGCCCUGUUGCAGCCGCCCGGCCCCGUCUAGUCGCGGCGCUUUGCCCCGGGGCUCCUGCGAGGUGGCGAGCUGCCUCCUCUUACUGGCAGGACCUGCUGGCGAGCUGCCUCCGCUCUUACUGGCAGGACCUGCUGCGUCUUCUGCUUCGUCCAGUCCUUGGGUAUCUGAUUCACCUCUUCAAAGGGCUAGGAAUGGCUCCUUGCGCCUCUUUCCUCUUGUAGUUCUUACAGGCUGCAUCUGAGCACCCUCAUCCGCUCCAACUGCUCAGCCCUGUUCUCUGCUGGGAUCAUCAGGCUCAUCUCAGCCCCGGAGCCAAAGCUCUUGAUUGUCUUCUGACACAGCCAGACUCUGCUAGCUUGCAUCCUGCUGUUCAAACAACUUAACAGAGGAAUUGCAUGAGACCAGGAGUUGAAACCAGGGGCAGGCCCGGCUGGAGGGAGAGCAGAGGACAAUCAGCCAUGGAGAACAAGAUCCAGUGCAGCCUUCGGAAGGACAGAGUACACAGAGCUGGCAAUGGCCUCUUCUCCCCUUCGUUACCAACUGCGUUUCAAUCAGCAGGGCUCUCGCCAGCUGUCGCACACUUGCUUACAAGAUGAACAGGAUUGUGGAUCAAGGAAACAUUUUCAAAGUUGAGGCCCAAAUGGAAAUAGUAAGAUAUCAUACACAGUGUAAGUUUAUAGUACACAGCAUUUUUUUAAAUGACAUAACGCAACAGCAGGAAGGAGUAGUAGUAGUUAACAGUUACUAACACUAGAAUAAUCAAAUUUAUAUGUUAUACAUAUACAGCAACUAACUGCUUUACAAAAAAAGCAAAAUAAUACAAUAUAUUGUCACAUGUAUUUACAGUGUAGUAAAUAUACUUUUCUGUCAAAUUUUACACAAAAACUAUUUACAGGUGAAUAUACUGCAUUAAAAAAAAAUUGUGGGACCAACACUAAAAGUGACUUUCUGUGGUAAGUUUGCUGCAUAACAAUAAGACGUGCUUCAUAACAUUUGAAAAAAAAAUAACCUUAGAAUGAAACAGAAAAAGCCCUAAAACCUACAACCCAGUUAGGAAUAGAGCACUGGAACGCUCCAGGGUGCUCGGUCCACAAUACUUACUGGAAACGUUUCCUGUUCUUGGAAACCUCAUGCACAUUGAAGCAGAAACAUUGGCAUAAUUAACAGGUAGGUUAUGCACUACUCAAAUACUACUGAAUUAUCUUUAAGUCAGGGAAAAUACAAACACAAACAAAAUGUUAAUCACCUUUACAGUACUUAACUGUAGUUAGUGCAUAAUGGAUAACAUGUUCUAAAACAGGGGUGUCAAACAUACAGUCCCCGUGAUGUAGUUAUGUGGUCCACAUGUUAAAACCGGCUUUUUCUGAAUCUAAGUUUUCAUUUCCAAGUACGCAGACUCCAGGGCUGCAGCAGCCCACGCGGCAGUGGCUGCCCGGUAGUCUGCAGGCUGCCUGACACAGCGACUCGAAGGUGGGAACUCUUGGAUCUCUCUCCUGCUCGUUAGAUCAGGCUUCAAGGCCACACCGUCACCAGCAACCACCUGCCCAUCGCUAUGAGCAUAAACGGAGCAACGGGAUGAGGAGGGAACGGACACGGGCUGGACUGGGAACAGAGCGGUGCUCAGAGGAGAGACUUGGGGCAGGAUGGAGAAUACUCCAAACAGGAGAACAAAUAAAGGAGGAUGUGAGAAGGAAAACAGGCAAAGUAACAGCAAUGGCCAUUACAGGGAGCAGGCUGUGAUGAACGUGACAGUAAGGCACUGAACAACUAAUUACUAACCAAAGGGUAAUCGUUAAAGAAAGGCCAUGUUUCCCCCCCUUGACCUAAGCACAAGCUUCCCAACUACCGGCCCUGGGAGAUAACUUUCCUGUGUAUCGGGGCGCCUGUGAUCCCGAAUUAAGCCUUGGCCAUCAACUGUAAUCACCCCCAGAUUCAGCCCCCACCCCCUAAGGUGUUUGACACCCCUGCUCUAAGGCAGUUCAGGGUCUCCCACUGGGCCAGGCGGUGGAAACAUUAAGUGACUCCCCCUCCUGCCAGGAAACAGAAUAAAUGAAAUUUUGCUGACUUUAUGAAGAUACCAUUUUUUUUUCAGCUGGGACUGAGCGCCUGGAGUAGUUCUAGUUCUCACAUGAAAGGUAAUUGUAAUCACUGUCCUUGUUGGUUUCACAUUAUAUGUAUGGCAAAGAAUGCAUUAAUUCUAGUUUAGGGACACUAUUUUUUUAUAUAGGCAAUGCAAAAUAUUGAAAGAGUGGUUCUUGAAUGCACCCAGUCCAAACAAAACUGAUUUGGUAAUUCAUCUGGAAUUACUAUUUCUGCUUCUGCUCAUAGGAGAAACAAAUGAAAGCUCGAUUUUUCUAACAGCAAAUUACCUUUACAGGAGAUUCUUUUUACCUCCUGCCUACAAAUCCUCAGGCUUCUACAAGUCAUCCUCUUCACAAAACAGAAAGGGCUGGAAUUAGCUUGAUUCAGAACAGCCAAACGCAAACUGGCAGCACUGCUGCAGGCGGCCCUUCGCAAUUGGAUAUAUGAGAUGAAACGAUUUUUAAAUCGGUGACCCCUGGUUUUACAGGCAUCACAGCUGAGGACGUGGCACAAGUCACUGCUCUAUUCCUACAUUCUGUUCUGGCCUCACAAUCCCUUUCAGAAUUCAGUAUCGCUCAGUAACCACAUUUCUAUUGCAGCUCUGAAGCGACCAAGAGUAAAAAAAAUUUGGUUAAUUGCACAAGUCUUUGUAUUUUCCAACACAUCUAUUUCAAAACUGCUAAUUCUCUGUUUUCCUCUUGUUUUGGCAAGCUAUUUGCAUAUUAAGUUUGUGUUCAUAGUUUUUCCAGGACUGUAAACAAAUUAAAGAAAUUAAAUUGUUAUUUUAUGAAUCAAUACAAUAAAGGUAUUUUUAUUUACAUAAAUGUUACAUUGUUACUGUGUGGAUACAUGUGAAUUAUGUGCUAUAUCAAUAAAAUCGGAACGCUUAAUUG